AACGAACGCUGGCGGCAGGCCUAAAACAUGCAAGUCGAACGCCCCGCAAGGGGAGUGGCGCACGGGUGAGUAACGCGUGGGAACGUGCCCUUCACUACGGGACAACGUCGGGAAACUGACGCUAAUACCGUAUAAUGACUCCGGUCCAAAGAUUUAUCGGUGAAGGAGCGGCCCGCGUCUGAUUAGUUUGUUGGUGGGGUAAUGGCCUACCAAGACUACGAUCAGUAGCAGGUCUGAGAGGAUGAUCUGCCACACUGGGACUGAGACACGGCCCAGACUCCUACGGGAGGCAGCAGUUAGGAAUAUUGGACAAUGGGCGAAAGCCUGAUCCAGCCAUGCCGCGUGUGUGAUGAAGGCCUUAGGGUUGUAAAGCACUUUCGUUGGGGAUGAUAAUGACGGUACCCAAAGAAGAAGCACCGGCUAACUUCGUGCCAGCCGCCGCCGUAA
rnacentral:rRNA from 1 species